rnacentral:rRNA from 1 species
CCCUUAGAUGUCCGGGGCCGCACGCGCGCUACACUGAAGGAAUCAGCGUGGCUUUCUCCCUGACCCGAAAGGGUUGGGAAACCCGUUGAAUCUCCUUCGUGAUAGGGAUUGGGGCUUGAAAUUGUUCCCCAUGAACGAGGAAUUCCCAGUAAGCGCGAGUCAUAAGCUCGCGUUGAUUACGUCCCUGCCCUUUGUACACACCGCCCGUCGCUACUACCGAUUGAACGGUUUAGUGAGGGCCUCGGAUUGGUCUCGGCCCGCUCUUUACCGGGCGGCGCCGUUGGUCGAGAAGACGCUCGAACUUGAUCGUCUAGAGGAAGUAAAAGUCGUAACA